rnacentral:rRNA from 1 species
AGUGAACGCUGGCGGUAGACCUAACACAUGCAAGUCGAACGGCAGCACAGUAAGAGCUUGCUCUUACGGGUGGCGAGUGGCGGACGGGUGAGGAAUACAUCGGAAUCUACUUUUUCGUGGGGGAUAACGUAGGGAAACUUACGCUAAUACCGCAUACGACCUACGGGUGAAAGCAGGGGAUCUUCGGACCUUGCGCGAUUGAAUGAGCCGAUGUCGGAUUAGCUAGUUGGCGGGGUAAAGGCCCACCAAGGCGACGAUCCGUAGCUGGUCUGAGAGGAUGAUCAGCCACACUGGAACUGAGACACGGUCCAGACUCCUACGGGAGGCAGCAGUGGGGAAUAUUGGACAAUGGGCGCAAGCCUGAUCCAGCCAUACCGCGUGGGUGAAGAAGGCCUUCGGGUUGUAAAGCCCUUUUGUUGGGAAAGAAAAGCAGCAGGUUAAUACCCCGCUGUUCUGACGGUACCCAAAGAGUAAGCACCGGCUAACUUCGUG